rnacentral:rRNA from 1 species
ACCAGACUCCUACGGGAGGCAGCAGGGGGGAAUAUUGCACAAUGGGCGCAAACCUGAUGCAGCCAUGCCGCGUGUAUGAAGAAGGCCUUCGGGUUGUAAAGUACUUUCAGCGGGGAGGAAGGUGUUGAGGUUAAUAACCUCAGCAAUUGACGUUACCCGCAGAAGAAGCACCGGCUAACUCCGUGCCAGCAGCCGCGGUAAUACGGAGGGUGCAAGCGUUAAUCGGAAUUACUGGGCGUAAAGCGCACGCAGGCGGUCUGUCUAGUCGGAUGUGAAAUCCCCGGUCUCAACCUGGGAACUGCAUUCGAAACUGGCAGGCUGGAGUGUUGGAGAGGGGGGUAGAAUUCCAGGUGUAGCGGUGAAGUGCGUAGAGAUCUGGAGGAAUGCCGGUGGCGAAGGCGGCCCCCUGGACAAAGACUGACGCUCAGGUGCGAAAGCGUGGGGAGCAAACAGGAUUAGAUACCCCCGUAA